AUUGAACGCUGGCGGCAGGCUUAACACAUGCAAGUCGAGCGGUAACAGAGAGAAGCUUGCUUCUCUGCUGACGAGCGGCGGACGGGUGAGUAAUGCCUAGGAAUCUGCCUAGUAGUGGGGGAUAACUUGCCGAAAGGUAAGCUAAUACCGCAUACGUCCUACGGGAGAAAGCAGGGGACUUUUCGGAGCCUUGCGCUAUUAGAUGAGCCUAGGUCGGAUUAGUUAGUUGGUGAGGUAAUGGCUCACCAAGACCGCGAUCCGUAACUGGUCUGAGAGGAUGAUCAGUCACACUGGAACUGAGACACGGUCCAGACUCCUACGGGAGGCAGCAGUGGGGAAUAUUGGACAAUGGGGGAAACCCUGAUCCAGCCAUGCCGCGUGUGUGAAGAAGGUCUUAGGAUUGUAAAGCACUUUAAGUUGGGAGGAAGGGCAGUUAACUAAUAUUUGACUGUUUUGACGUUAC
rnacentral:rRNA from 1 species